UACGUAGGGGGCGAGCGUUGUCCGGAUUUAUUGGGCGUAAAGAGCUCGUAGGCGGUUCGAUAAGUCGGACGUGAAAUCUCCACGCUCAACGUGGAGGGGCCGUUCGAUACUGUCGUGACUCGAGUCCGGUAGGGGAGUGUGGAAUUCCCGGUGUAGCGGUGAAAUGCGCAGAUAUCAGGAGGAACACCGGUGGCGAAGGCGGGUCUCUGGGCCGAAACUGACGCUGAGGAGCGAAAGCGUGGGGAGCGAACAGG
rnacentral:rRNA from 1 species